GUAUAGACACCCAAUCCCUCGCCUUGAUGAUAUGCUUGAUGAGUUGCAUGGUGCAUGCAUAUUUUCUAAAAUUGACUUAAAGAGUGGUUAUCACCAAAUUCGCAUGAAAUUAGGAGAUGAAUGGAAAACUGCCUUUAAGACUCAAUAUGGAUUAUAUGAAUGGUUAGUCAUGUCAUUUGGCUUGACCAAUGCACCUAGUACAUUUAUGAGGCUUAUGAACCAUGUGUUGCGUGCUUUCCUAGGAAAAUUUAUUGUAGUGUAUUUUGAUGAUAUCC
rnacentral:misc_RNA from 1 species